GUCCAGCUGACGAGUCCCGGAUAGGACGAAACGUGCGUCAAACUGAAU
rfam:Schistosoma rodhaini strain Burundi genome assembly, scaffold: SROB_scaffold0003364